GAAGGAAAGUGCUAGAAUUCUAGUAUGUCUGUUUGAAAGAUGAACAUCUUGGCUAUUUAAUUAUAUUUUUCUGUUUUACAAAGGAGCUGUAUAGCUAAACAAGUGGUGUGUGCUCAGCACAAUGUUCUGUUGCAACGAUAGCUAUCAGAGCAAUCAUAAAGGGACAACUGAAUUUUGGAGUAUUUACCUUUGUAGAGAAACUAGACCUUAGCCAAGAGCAGCAGGGUUUCCCUGUCACUGUCAUUUACAUUAGUCCUUGCUUUGGAUACAUGGCCUCUCAAUACAGAGACUGAGUGCAUCUUGCAAGUGCUGUUCUAAGCUUUUUUAGCUUCAGUGAAAAAAGAAACAGAGUUUGUGUUUUUUAAUGACAGUUGAUAGUGAGAACAACGAAAGGGGAAAAGAAGCUAGAGGGAAAGGAAAAAGGCUGCUUUAGUGAGGCUGGAAAUAAAUCAGGACUGUCUGGUAAACAUGUACUUUUUAAAAAUCUUAGUUAGAUAUUGCAUUUUUAGUACCACCAGACAUAUGUUGACAGGGCAAAUGGCUGACAGAGAUCAACAACUCUAAAGUGUUUUUUGUUGUUGUUGUUGGUGGUUUUUUUUUUUUGUUGUUUUGUUGUUUUUUUUUUGUUGUUUUUUCUUUCUUUAAAUAAAGUAAAUAAGUAAUUUUGGCUCCGUCCUUCCUUUGGGUUGUGUGCUUAGAUCUGAGAAGGACAGAGAACACAGACACAUCCUCCCACAUCCUGGUCACAGCUUUUGGCUUUUACAAAAUAACAAGGAAUGGAGCUAAGUGUCACCUGAGGGACGCUUGAGAAGGCUGUUUGGAAUGAGGACAGGCCAGGAGAGUGAUGACCAGAAUUUUCAUAUCAGCGGUGAUCCGCAGACAAAGCACCAACCUGCAGAAACAUCUCAGAACAAGAAAGAAAAAAGGAGAGGGAAGGAAGGAGGGAAGGAGGGAAGGAACGAAGGAAGGAAGAAAAGAAAAGAAAAAAAAGGAGAGAGAGAAGGAGAGAAGGAGAGAAAGAAAGGAUAAUCCUAUUAUACUUUCCAAAAGGACUCAUUAG
rnacentral:lncRNA from 1 species